CUGUGGCUCAAUGGUAGAGCGUUUAACUCAAUGUUAAAAGGUCGCGGGUUCGAAUCCCCGG
rnacentral:tRNA from 1 species